rnacentral:rRNA from 1 species
GCCAGACUCCUACGGGAGGCAGCAGUGGGGAAUAUUGCACAAUGGGGGGAACCCUGAUGCAGCGACGCCGCGUGAGUGAAGAAGUAUUUCGGUAUGUAAAGCUCUAUCAGCAGGGAAGAAAAUGACGGUACCUGACUAAGAAGCCCCGGCUAACUACGUGCCAGCAGCCGCGGUAAUACGUAGGGGGCGAGCGUUAUCCGGAUUUACUGGGUGUAAAGGGAGCGUAGACGGUUAAUCAAGUCUGAAGUGAAGGCCCGCGGCUCAACUGCGGAACGGCUUUGGAAACUGAGUAACUGGAGUGCUGGAGGGGCAGGCGGAAUUCCUGGUGUAGCGGUGAAAUGCGUAGAUAUCAGGAGGAACACCGGUGGCGAAGGCGGCCUGCUGGACAGUAACUGACGUUGAGGCUCGAAAGCGUGGGGAGCAAACAGGAUUAGAUACCCGAGUAA